GGUCCCGUAGCGUAAGGGUUAACGCGCUGCAAAUGCCUCUUUUGAGACCAAGGAUUUCUGCGGAGACUCCAGGUUUGAUUCCUGGCAGGGCUG